rnacentral:rRNA from 1 species
GUAGGUGGCAAGCGUUGUCCGGAAUUAUUGGGCGUAAAGCGCGUGCAGGCGGUUCUUUAAGUCUGAUGUGAAAGCCCACGGGCUCAACCGUGGAGGGUCAUUGGAAACUGGAGAACUUGAGUACAGAAGAGGAAAGCGGAAUUCCACGUGUAGCGGUGAAAUGCGUAGAGAUGUGGAGGAACACCAGUGGCGAAGGCGGCUUUCUGGUCUGUAACUGACGCUGAGGCGCGAAAGCGUGGGGAGCAAACAGGAUUAGAUACCCUGGUAGUCCACGCCGUAAACGAUGAGUGCUAAGUGUUAGGGGGUUUCCGCCCCUUAGUGCUGCAGCUAACGCAUUAAGCACUCCGCCUGGGGAGUACGGCCGCAAGGCUG